rnacentral:misc_RNA from 1 species
CACAAAAAAGUUUUCAACUUUUUAAACCACACUGUGAACCAAAGAAAACAUACUGCUUCGGUAGCAGGUGCCGUUUACCUAACGGUUUCGGUAACCGUCAGCCUGCCGGUAGCACCCCAAUUAAACCUGUUUCUGAAACUUUAGUCUGAACAGAAUCAUUUUCGAAUGAAAAUUA